rnacentral:rRNA from 1 species
UACGUAGGGGGCGAGCGUUGUCCGGAAUUAUUGGGCGUAAAGGGCGCGCAGGCGGUCUGUUAAGUCUGUGGUGAAAGACCGGGGCUCAACCCCGGAGUGUCCGCAGAGACUGGCAGACUGGAGUAUCGGAGAGGAGUGCGGAAUACCUGGUGUAGCGGUGGAAUGCGUAGAGAUCAGGUGGAACACCGAUGGCGAAGGCAGCACUCUGGCCGAGUUACUGACGCUGAGGCGCGAAAGCUGGGGGGAGCGAACGGG